AGUGGCGGACGGGUGAGUAACGCGUGGGUAACCUGCCUUACACAGGGGGAUAACAGUUAGAAAUGACUGCUAAUACCGCAUAGUGUAAGAUGGACCCGCGUCUGAUUAGCUGGUUGGUGGGGUGACGGCCUACCAAGGCGACGAUCAGUAGCCGGCCUGAGAGGGUGAACGGCCACAUUGGGACUGAGACACGGCCCAAACUCCUACGGGAGGCAGCAGUGGGGAAUAUUGCACAAUGGGGGAAACCCUGAUGCAGCAACGCCGCGUGAGGGAAGAAGGUUUUCGGAUUGUAAACCUCUGUCCCUGGUGACGCGGUAACCAGGGAGGAAGCCACGGCUAACUACGUGCCAGCAGCCGCGGUAAUACGUAGGUGGCAAGCGUUGUCCGGAUUUACUGGGUAUAAAGGGAGCGCAGGCGGGAGAGCAAGUCAGCGGUGAAAUACAUGGGCUUAACCCAUGAACUGCCGUUGAAACUGUUUUUCUUGAGUGAAGUAGAGGCAGGCGGAAUUCCGAGUGUAGCGGUGAAAUGCGUAGAUAUUCGGAGGAACACCAGUGGCGAAGGCGGCCUGCUGGGCUUUUACUGACGCUGAGGCUCGAAAGCGUGGGGAGCAAACAGGAUUAGAUACCCUGGUAGUCCACGCUGUAAACGAUGAUUGCUAGGUGUGGGGCCGUG
rnacentral:rRNA from 1 species